rnacentral:rRNA from 1 species
CGUAUAGUUGUUACGGCACACAGUGGGAUGCCUUGGCGUCGGAGCUGAUGAAGGACGUGGAAAUCUGCGAUAAGCCUCGGGGAGCUGAUAAAACGAGCUGUGAUCCGGAGCGUAUGCGGAAUGGUGACCUGCCGGCUGCGUGCUAUGCGUAGUCACUGGUAUCUAAAUUCAUGGGUGCGAGGAGUAUGGGGAAGUGGAAACAGUCCAUACCCAUAGGAAGGAAAACAACAGUGAUUCCGUGAGUAGUGGCGAGCGAAAGCGGAUGGUGGCUAAACCGGUUGUGUGUGAUACCUGGCGAGGGUUGCAUGAUGGGGUUGUGGGGAUGCGUUGUUCCUGGGGUCGCCACCCUGGGCGCUGUGGCGUGGUGGUAGUCGAACUGGUGGUGAGUGCCAGACCGUCGGGGUGUGAGUCCGUAGACAAGAAACUGUCAUUGUCGUGGUAUGACGUCUCCCGAAGUAGCACGAGCAUGAAGUGACCUGAGAAUGUGCCAGGACCACCUUGGUAAGCCUGAAUACUCCCUGAUGACCGAUAGCGGAUCAGUACCGUGAGGGAAUGGUGGAGGCCCGGGAGAGAGAAGUGAAAUAGUACCUGAAACCGUGUGCUUCAAGCCGUUGGAGCCUAGGGGUGAGCGUCUUUGAAGAAUGAGCCUGCGAGUUAGUGUUACGUCGCGAGAUUAACCCGUGUGGGGUAGUCGUAGCGAAAGCGAGUAUGAAUAGGGCGUUGUGGGGUGAUCGACCGAAGCGGGGUGAUCUACCAUGGCCAGGUUGAAGCGCGUGUAAGAGCGCGUGGAGGCCGAACCCACUUGCGUUGAAAAUGGAGGGGAUGAGCUGUGGGUAGGGGUGAAAGGCCAAUCAAACUCCGUGAUAGCUGGUUCUCCCGAAAUGCAUUUAGGUGCAGCGUUGCGUGUUGCUUGCUGGAGGUAGAGCUACUGGAUGGCUGAUGGGCCCUACAAGGUUACUAACAUGACCAAACUCCAAAUGCCAGUAGAGUUGAGCGUGGCAGUGAGGACUGAGGGGGAUAAGCUUCAUAGUCGAAAGGGAAACAGCCCAAGCCAUCAACUAAGGCCCCUAAGCGUGUGCUAGUGGGAAAGGGUGUGGAGUUGCUUAGACAACCAGGAGGAUUAAGCUAGAGCAGCCACCCUUGAAAGAGUCGUAAUAGCUCACUGGUCAGUAAUUGCGCGCCGAUAAUGUAGCGGGGCUCGUACACCGCCGAAGUUGUGGCAUGACACCGUAUAGCUUGAGCCGUUUGUGGUUGAGGUGGUGUUGUGGGUAGGGGAGCAUCGUGGGUAGUGAAGCUGCGGGGUGACCCCAGUGGUGGAACCUGGACGACUGAGGAGUCCAGGCAUCGGUCGCGAUAACGGGUGGGGAAAACACGCCCGCCGGAUGAUCAAGGGUUCCGGGUCAAGCUAAUCUGCCUGGGUAAGUCAGGACCUAAGGCAAGGCCGACAGGCGUAGUCGAUGGACAACGGGUUGAUAUUCCCGUACCGACGAAGACCAGACCCUACUGAACCGGGGAUACUGACCGCCGAACCACCAUGACCGUGUGCCCUUGUGGUACGCGGGGUGUGUGGAGCGUGGGACCUGAUCCGGGGAGGUGACGUUGUAACGGGUGUGACGCAGGAAGGUGGCCGAGCCAGGCGAUGGUUGUCCUGGUCUAAGCGUAGGGUGACCCGUUGGUAGAUCCAGGGUUGUGUGCCUGAGAUGUGAUGGGACUCUGCAGGUGAGGAAUUCGGUGAUCCUAUGCUGCCAAAGCAUGACGUGAGGUUCUAGUCGCCCCGUACCCCAAACCAACAGGUGAUCAGGUCAGGAUUACUAAGGCGUUCGAGAGAAUCAUCGUUCCAACUGGGCAAAUGCCCCCGUAACUUGGGGAGGGGGGCCCUAUCUGGUGAGCACACGUGCUGUGUGAGCUGGGUGGGUCGCAGAGGCUAGGGGGAACAAGCUGUUUAUCAAAAACGCAGGUCCGUGCGAAGUGGUCAGACGAUGUAUAGGGACUAAACUCCUGCCGGUGCUGGAAGGUUAAGAGGACCUGUAGACCCUUGGGUCGAAGCGGGAGAAUUUAAGCCCCAGUAAACGGCGGUGGUAACUGUAUAACCAUCCUAAGGUAGCGAAAUUCCUUGUCGGGUAAGUUCCGACCUGCACGAAUGGAGUAACGACUUCCCUCUGUCUCAACCAUGAACUCGGCGAAAUUGCAGUACGAGUGAAGGUGCUACGUUCGCGCAGCAGGACGGAAAGACCCGAGACCUUACUAUAGUUUGGUAUUGGUGUUCGGUGUAGCUUGUGUUAGGAUAGGUGGAGACUGUGAAGCUAUCACGCUAGUGGUGGUGGAGUCGUUGUUGAAAUACCACUCUGGUCACUCUGGACAUCUAACUUCAGCCAGUGAUCCGGGUCAGAUGGGUAGUUUAACUGGGGGUGGUUGCCUCCUAAAGAGUAACGGAGGCGCCCGCGUAGGUUCCCUCAGCCUGGUCGGCAAUCAGGUGUUGAAGUGUAGUGUACAAGGGAGCUUGACCGGCGGAGUAGCGACAGCUCGAGCAGGGACGAAGUCGGGACUAGUGAUCCGGCGGUACAUUGUGGAAUGGCCGUCGCUCAACGGAUAAAAGGUACCUCGGGGAUAACAGGCUGAUCUUGCCCAAGAGUCCAUAUCGACGGCAUGGUUUGGCACCUCGAUGUCGGCCUGCUGGCAUCCUGGGGCUGUCGGUCCCAAAGGGUUGGGCUGUUCGCCCAUUAAAGCCAAUGUGAAGUGGGGUUUUAGAACGUCGUGAGACAGUUGAACCUGUUCCUGGCGGUGUGCGUUGGAAAUUCGUGGAGGCCUGUCCUUAGCAACGAGAGGACCGGGACUAUGAACCUCUGGUAUGUCAGUUGUUCCGCCAGGAGCAUCGCCGAUUAGCUACGUUCGGGAUUGAUAACCGCUGAAAGCAUCUAAGCGGGAAGCUUGCUCCGAGAUGACAUCUCCGUCUCCGAGGGGCGUACGAGGUGCCCAGUAGACCAUGGGGUUGAUAGGCCAGGUGGAAGCGUUGCAAGGCGUGGAGCUGACUGGCAAUGAUACACCGAAGACUAUACACA